rnacentral:rRNA from 1 species
UACAGAGGUCUCAAGCGUUGUUCGGAUUCAUUGGGCGUAAAGGGUGCGUAGGUGGCGCCAUAAGUCAGGUCGUGAAAUCUCGGGGCUUAACUCCGAAACUGCAUUUGAUACUGUGGUGCGUUGAGGACUGGAGAGGAGACUGGAAUUCACGGUGUAGCAGUGAAAUGCGUAGAGAUCGUGAGGAAGACCAGUGGCGAAGGCGGGUCUCUGGACAGUUC